rnacentral:rRNA from 1 species
CCCGGCGAAAGCCGGAUUAAUACCGCAUACGACCUGAGGGUGAAAGCGGGGGACCGAAAGGCCUCGCGCUAUUGGAGCGGCCGAUGUCGGAUUAGCUAGUUGGUGGGGUAAAGGCUUACCAAGGCGACGAUCCGUAGCUGGUCUGAGAGGACGACCAGCCACACUGGGACUGAGACACGGCCCAG